UCCUUCAACAUUUUUAACAUUAAAUCUUGCUCCCCCUCCAAUUUUUAUUUGGAAAAAAAAAACACUAAAACAUAUUUUAAGCUAAAAGAAUAAACUUCAGCUGAGUUUCCAUUUCUCUCAAACAUCAUCUAAAUUUUCCAUUUCCCUUAAGCUUCAGCGAAGAACAUGAUUGUAGCUUAAUUUUCCAUUUCCCUCAAACUUCAACAAAGAAUGCAGUUUUCAGAUGAGAACCUGAAGAAAUUGGCUUUUCAUUCAAGAAGAACUGAAGAAUAUGUACGAUUUUCCUCACAUUUUUCUGUCAAAAUUAGCCGAAGAACGCGAUAUUCAGCUGAAAGACUGAAGAAAAAUACAAUUUUUCUCAAGAACUGGAAAAAACGUCUUUCCUCUGACAGAUUCCAUGUUGAAGAUUGAAGAGCUGAAGAACACAAUUUUUCUCAAAGAUUUCUUGUUAAAGAGUUGUUCCAUUAUAUUUAGGGUUGUUGGAAUAGUGUUAAUCAGAAGAUGUAUUGCAAGACACUAAACAGCUUGUAAAAUAAGUUAAUGGUUACAAUGUGUGCAUUUUUGCUUAUGGUAAAACUGGAUUUCAAAAAACAUAUACAAUGUCUGUCCCGGGAGGUUGAUCAACUAAAGAGUUCAGAAUCAAUCAACUGGCUGUGAAUGAUCUAUUCUUACUAUCUGAUGAAAGAAAGGACAUUAUGAGCUAGAAGAUCCACGUUCAAAUGGUCAAGAUAUGCAUUGAACACAUUUAUGAUCUUCUAACAGACUAUUCGUUGCUUACUAAAUAUCCUUUCACUGAAAUAUUCCUUACUUUGUGCCAGAUUUCAUGAAUUUAUUUGAGGUACUUCAAGGAGAAAAGCAAUAUAAUUACACCCUUAACUGUUCAUAUGUUAGAGAUUAGAAGAUGCAUGAGUGGCAAUGGUCAAAUUCUGAUUAAUUUUAGCAUUCAUCCACUGAAUUGCGCUACACAUGUUAUAGAACUAACGAAACUUGGUGACUUGAGCUGUGUUGUUGGCUGAACUACCAUGAACAAUCGAAGUAGUCGUUCACACAAGUGAGGCUUAACAGUAUUUAAGUUAUCUCUACUCAAUUUCCAUUCAGACAACCUUAACGGAGUUAUUAAAAUUGUCAACUGUAAUUAUAUUUACACAAAAUACAUGCAGUGUGCUGACUGUACACAUGCAUGGUGAAGAUACAUCAGGAAACAUAAUCCACAAUUGCCUCCAUUUGGUGGAUAUUGUUGCCUGUGAACAAUUUGACAAGUAAGAAGUUAACUGAGACAUCUUCAAAGAGGCACAACAUAUUAAUAAAUCUCUCUCUUGCUUGGGCGAUGUAUUCACUGCAUUGGCGCAGAAGAACUGUCACAUCCCUUACAAAAAUAACAAACUCACAUUACUCUUGCAUAACUCUUUAAUCAGCUCCAGAUUUUGCUCCUCAUAGAAACUUAUUUGACUGAUGAAAAUAUUAAUUAAGCGAAAUAUAAACUUAGGCUUUGAAAUAUUUUGGAGGAGUUUCUUUUUUAACUCAAGUGAGUUCUGCAGUUACAAGUAUUUAUAGUUUGCUAAUGCUUUUUGGUGUGUUUCAGGUGGACAUGCAAAAAGUUGAUGUUUGCUCAUGUCAAACCUAAAAGGGAUUCCUUUGGAGAACCAAUUAGUAAUAUGAAGUUUGCAAAGAGGGUUUUAAGUGUGGAACCAACAGCCACCUCUUCUUGCACUGUAUUACAUGCUCAAAUCUGGAAUUUGUUCCUUAGCAUCUCAAAUAAGAAUUGAACAAUGCCAGAACGUACAUCAAACGUGUUGAUGAGAUGGAUAAGGAGAGGAGGUACCAAGAGCCGGAAGAGAUUGUGGAGGUUAAUACCAUCAUGUAUAUGGUGGUCAGUUUGGAAGGAAAGGAACAAUAGAUGUUUCGAUAAUAGAUCCAAUUCCAUACACAAGGUCAAAUGGAAUUGUAUAGUAUAUCUACGUUUUUGGUGUAAACAGUUGUGUAUAGUAGAUACAUAUCAGAUUGUAGAUUUCAUAGGAAGUUUGUAAUUGAGACUUUUUGGUGGUGGCGAGCAUGCCCUUAAUGCUGAAGAAUACAACCUUACCAGUUUUAAAAAAUAAGUGUGGAACUUGGUGCAACUCAUUUAUAUAAAGAGACCAUCGAAUGUUUAGAGGUCAAGGCAGAGGUAAAAUACAAUCAACAUAAGAGCACUCCACGAGAAUGAUAACCGAGUUGCGUAGUAAUCCAAGUGGUUCAAUGCUACUGAUGGACCCUUAUGGUAACUUUUUCAUCUAGUAAUCACUACAAAGAGAAAAGGUAAGUGUAGUUCACUAAAUUUCUUUGUAUAUGAACCUGUCUAUAUCGUAUAAGAAACAAAAUGAGCUAUCUGGAUCUUCUAAUUCAUCUUGGACUGAAAUGACCUUCUAGGAGUUCUCUUUUUCUAUGUAUGCUUGCAUGGUAAAAACAUUCUCAAAACAUAGGCAUGGCUAUUUAGACCCAUUUAGACUGAAUAUUGCAGAAGAUAACAUGCCAUUAACUGGGAAAUAGAGAAGGUUGUUAUUAUUGGUGGUGGUUUAAUGGCCUCUGGUAUUGCCACAACUCGUAUACUCAGUUCUAUACAAGUAAUUCUAAAAGAAACUAACUUCAACUAUCUGCAAAAGUCAAUCAAAUCAAUAGACAAUAUCUUUCCCAUAUUCGGGAUGUCUUUUUCAUAUUACAUAGAUGUUGUAGAAAUUUACACUUUUUGGUGUCAAGUUAAGAUUUUCGGUGAAUAUCUUUGUGUGCUGCUGCCAUGGAUGUAAAGAGUAAAUAUCAUUAAUGAGUGAAUAUUAUCUGAGAACUGAUUUAUUGAUUUAGCAAUAUGGUUGCAUCUGAAAUGACUGAAAAUAAAAGAUAAUUGUAUCCAUAUUGUCCAAAAAUGGUAUUUCCUAUCACCUCAUGCAAUUAUUUGUCGAAUUCUUGUGAAAUCAGGAGGUAACCACAAUAACACUAGUUUCUAUGUGUUGACUGGCUCUGCAUUUUUUCAAUAGUAUCAACUUGCAUGGUUUAAGUUUUCACUUGAUUUCACCAUUCUCACUUUACGAGAAUGACUGUGUUACCAACAAGUAUUUGCAUGUUGUAAAUCCUCACGCUAGCUGGCUUAAGGAUAUUUUCAUCUUUCUGCCUUGUUGGUAUAUCAUUUUGUGGUUUCUCCAUGGUUUACCAUUUCUUCUGUGUUUGAAUAUAGUUCUUGUGUGUAUAUUUUAUACUUAUGGGGAUUUCUUAUGAUCCUUAUAAAAAAUAUUGCGAAGAAUUAAAGAUAUAAAAUUUCUCUCAAUGUUUUCUUAGUUACUUGAAUUUUCGUAAAUACAUUUAUUAAUUAGAGUAUUUUGGUCGAGAUGAUCUGCAUGAACCUUUGUAUUUCUUAAUGGCUGAAUACCAUGUGGAAAAUUCAAUUGUGCUUAAGAAAAUAAGGGUUUAGACAUUAUAUUUAUGUUUUCUUGGUGAUUGUUUUGCAUUUCUUAGUAAUUGUUGUAACAUCUGUAGGUCUGCUGAGUUGCUGGCAUCAGAACAACAGGUGGAGAUGGAACUUCUUUUUCCACAGUUUCGUGUUUGGUUACCUUGAGCACAUUGUGGAAUCACAAGAUCACAAUGAAGUUCAACACAUUAAAGCUAAUGUUGAGGAAUGCAAGAAGACGCUUCAAAGUUUGGGAUAUGCACAAUUCACCUUUGAAGACUUUUCUGCACAUGGUGGUGCACGGGGUGACAAGGGGAAUCCUAUUAUAACAUACCACUACAGUAGUUAACUUACUGCAAGGUAUAGAUUGAUGAUUGUUUAUGAUGCCUCAAGUGUUGUAUAUCGGACCACAAGAAAGUGCGCAAUGUGAUCCUUUCUUAAAUGCGGCUUUGGAAACACUCACGAUGAUAUGUUACUUGCAAAACAUGAGACUGUCUGUACUGGUUCUGGUGCCCUUGGUUCUUCAGUGGUCAGUUUCACAAUAUUCUGCCAGAUUCCUUGUCUCUUAAUGUUAUUGCUACUUCCUUGUGUCUGAUUUUUGUUUCCCAUUUCUUUUAAUGUUAUUGCCACUUGUACUUUUUAUUUGAAAUUCUCAACCUGCUGGUGCACAGGGUGACAAGGGGAAUCCUAUUAAUACUACUACAGUAGUUAACUUACUGCAAGGUAUAGAUUGAUGAUUGUUUAUGCUGCCUCAAGUGUUGUAUAUCUGACCAUAAGAAAGUAUGCAAUGUGUUCCUUUCUUAACUUUGUCUUUGGAAACACUCACGAUUAUAUGUUAUUUGCAAAACAUGAGACUGUCUGUACUGGUUCUGGUGCCUUUGGUUCUUCAGUGGUCAGUUUCACAAUAUUCAGCCAGAUUCCUUGUCAAGUAAAUGUAGGGAUAGAAAAACUUCUUAAUGCACCUGUUUACUAUUUCUCCCUGCUGUUUUGCAGUUUGUUUUCAACAUGGGUCACGGACUUCCCGUGUGGUCUUAGAGGCUGGUUUUUAACAAAGUCAAUACACGUUCUAGAAAAGGAAAAUGUCGGUAAUUGAAUUUGAAUUGUGGCCAAAAGUAAACUCGAUCUAUUGUAGUGAACGAUGAAGAGUUUUUGUACUGUUGUCAUACAUGUUUGAAUGCAUUUGGUUUUGUGGAAUUUAUUGAUACUAAAGAACUUUAAGAAAUAACUUUAUAAGAAUUGGUGGUACAAGACAUGUUUCUCAAAGUCUAUCUGAAAUAUGUAGCUUUAAUUUAA